CAUCCCGCCCCGCUCACGGCCAACGUCGACCCCUCCGACUACCGCACAUCGCGCCGAUGCCCCCGCCCGCCGCAAAUCGCGCCGCCACCCCCGCCUGCCGCACAUCACAGCCCCCCAUCCGAAGUGCCACCGCCGCGCGACUGUACUACCGCGCUCGACCCGCCCGCAGGCAGUCCCGCCGUGACGCCCGACGCCGCGAUGCUGUCCCCGCCGCGGAUUCCCCACGGGCGCGACGCCCGACGCCACGGCGGCCGCCAUCUCCGCCGCCGAUCCCCCACGCGCGGCGCGCGCGACUCCGGCCGCACCGCCGUGACUACCAUCGUUCCCGACGGCCCGCGCGCGACUCCCGCAUCCCCCACACGUCGGCAGCAAAGGGUGAGGGCGGACGAUGAAAGCUCAUGAGAAGGCGAGGCGAGGGGAUGCAGCCCAAGAUUAGCGCGUUCUUCAAGCGGAGGAAAUGGCCCCAGAUCCGAACAGGUUCUUCUUCUUCUUUCCCCAUUCGAAUCGAUAACCCUCGGUACCUAAUCCUGCUGUAUCCAAUUGUUGUGACGUCUGACAAAAUAAUGCACGGAGAAGAUGCAUUGGCACAUGUGCUACGUGGGGAGAAGCAACUUGUGAUUCCAUUCUCAUUUCUGUGAGUUUUCGCAGUGGCGAUGGCGAGGGCCACGGGCAGGGAAGAGGCGGCAGCGCUGCAGCGGAGGAGAAGCGGAAGCCCAAGGGCGGCGGGCGCGGCGCGCUUGUUAGCAAGAAGAGGAGCUAUGCGUAGUUUCAUCUGGAGCUAGGGUAGCCUGAUUUCGUCCUCCACACCUGCUCUGUCUGCAGCAUGAUGUACGCCCAUGGGAACGACAAUGGCGAAAAGGUUCACAAGGCGUACCAUAAGAGAUACUUCGAGGGAGUCCCGUUCAAGGUCUUGUCGUUCACUUGCUCUCUGCAUCAUAGUCUUGUUGCGUGCAUCUUUGGAGAGCGUCUUACUAACCGAUUAGCUGCAGGGAUAGCAAAAUGAAACUGUGAUAGCAAGGUCUGUAGGCGGAGACCGGGUAAUUCUCACGAUUGAUGAAAAACUCUCAUAUGUGGAAUAGUAAGGUACAACUAAAACUCAAUUCCUUGUGUUAAAAAUGUUAUGAGCACAACAAUUUCAUCAAUGGUACGGUCAGUUUUGGAUCACAGCAGAAACAAGAGGUUGUGAUUGAGUUUUUGUGUGAUGAUCAUGUCAGUCCAUUAGAGUUAGGUACUGUAAUUUGGAUGCCAAGACCUUUUAGGUGCAAGGGAAUACAGGAUUGUCUUCAUUGAUGUUGAAUUAAUUUGAUGAAAAACUUGGACUUAGGUUAUGGUUGAUUUAAUUGGAUGCUCCUUUCCUGACCUGAUGUGCUCAAGUUUCAUCAGUUAGGUACUCUGCUUAAUAGUAGCAAAUAUGACUUGUAUCAGUUUCAUAUAGUUUAUCAUGGAACCUGGUGUGCUCAGCCUGCAUACAGAGGUACAUUAUCUUUUAUUAGCAGCCAUUUUCAUGUUUAUAUAGGUUUUAGUAGCAUCAAGCAUCUCAACUACAUGAUAUUCUUAUCUGAUUCACUCAUUUUUUUCUCAGGAAUGAUCGGCCUAAUUUAAAGUUCACUUCUUUUUUAUACCAACGAAGAUUUGUUUCCUUAUAUUACAUUUCUGGGUAAAUGCGUAAUGCAUGUCCAUAACCUGAUGCUAUAGUGCAAGUAUUUAAGUUCAUCUUCUCAGAUUUGGGUCCAUGAUAGUUGAGACAUUUGUUCAUGUGGCCUUCUCUCUCUGCAAAUUCCUCUGAGUAAUGGUUUUAGGAUGGCAUGGCCAUAGAGAAAAGCUAUCAGGUUCACAUGGAUAACAAACUCAUCUUGAAAAAAUUGAUCAGAAUUCGAGUAGGAAUCUAGGCGGGAUCACAUGCAGGAGAUGGUCACCGUUUGUUUGUUUAAGUGUGGAGAAGGUUGAUGAGUAAUGAAUCAAAAAUGACACGAAGAAAGACAUAGUGAAAAUGCCUCUAACCUGCAGGAGUAUGAGCCUUCGAUGAGAUCAUGCAUAUUUUAUACUGGGUGGCUAUGGUCCGCCGCCCUCCCCCUCACUCCAAGAGCCCAGACAUUCGCCUCCGUCGUCGCACCAUCCCACCAAGCUCCCACCGUGCGUGGCAUGCCUCCCCACCAACCGCCGCUUUGCUGUAAACCCGCAGCCGCGCCGCCGCCCCAGUUCUGCCACGAGAUGCCGCGCCGAGUUACAGCGGAAAGGUGUUUGCCAUGUCUCGCGUUAUGGCGGCAUGGCAGCCAAUAGGCGUAUCAAUGGGAGUUUUUGACAUGUGCCAUAGGUGUAUAUCACAUCACCAUAUCUGCUUUUAGUUUAUUCAUUCUGAUCUAUGUAAGACUCCCAAUAUCUCUCAAUCUGUAGUUAUCUUUUUGAAAGAAAUAAAGAAAGAAAGCAAUUUGGAGCUCCAGUGGAAGCUUUUCAGCUCAACCAAGAAAAGCUUGUUCGGAUGCUCGGCAACAUUCAUACCAUGGUUCUCGUUGGCGGGCGACUGUGAGUCAGGCAAAAUGGCAUCAGGCCAUAGUAGUUUAGGCAAGGUUUGUAAGUUGCAAUAUAGCCAGCAAUGGUUGAACGGUUCGCUCAUCUUGAGCCCAGUGAUGUUUUCUUAAUCAGUUUUUUUU